rnacentral:misc_RNA from 1 species
UACGGAGGGUGCAAGCGUUAAUCGGAAUUACUGGGCGUAAAGCGCACGCAGGCGGUCUGUCAAGUCGGAUGUGAAAUCCCCGGGCCCAACCUGGGAACUGCAUCCGAAACUGGCAGGCUAGAGUCCGGGAGGGGUGAGUGGAACUCCUAGUGUAGAGGUGGAAUUCGUAGAUAUUAGGAAGAACACCAGUGGCGAAGGCGGCUCACUGGUCCGGUACUGACGCUGAGGCACGAGAGCGUGGGGAGCGAACAGG